rnacentral:lncRNA from 1 species
CUUGGGCCACUUUGACAAUUUGGCCUGAUUUUCAACUAAGUAUGGAUGGAUUUCUUGAUUGGGCUGGGAAUUUUCUUAUUGGGCCUUGCCCUCAAGAAUUUGGGCUUGUGAUCCAUCUCCUACCGAAAUUGAAUCGUUGAUGCUCGUAAUGGAGAUCCAAUGCGCUUUGGCUGCAAGAUUUGGUGUCUUGGACCAAGAUUCCCAAUAUUUGAAAUCUUGAUUUUCCCUUUCUUUUGUGUACGCAUCUAAGGCCUUACUAACAAACUCCUAGAUGGUCCCAUUUAGUUUGGAACGCAUUUGUCGGGCCUUUGAUCUCGUAUC